GCCCGCUUAGCUCAUUGGUAGAGCGUCUGCCUAGUAAGCAGAAGGUAGCAGGUUCGAUCCCUGCAGUGGGCA
rfam:Mortierella elongata AG-77 unplaced genomic scaffold K457scaffold_26, whole genome shotgun sequence.